UACUCGAGUGGCGAACGGGUGAGUAACACGUGGGUGAUCUGCCCUGCACUUCGGGAUAAGCUUGGGAAACUGGGUCUAAUACCGGAUAGGAACCAUCUUUAGUGUGGUGGUUGGAAAGUUUUUUCGGUGUAGGAUGAGCUCGCGGCAUAUCAGCUUGUUGGUGGGGUAAUGGCCUACCAAGGCGGCGACGGGUAGCCGGCCUGAGAGGGUGUACGGCCACAUUGGGACUGAGAUACGGCCCAG
rnacentral:rRNA from 1 species